UACGGAGGAGGCAAGCGUUAUCCGGAAUUAUUGGGCGUAAAGCGUCCGUAGGUGGCUAGUCAAGUCUGCGGUCAAAGACUGGGGCUUAACCCUGGAAAGGCCGUGGAAACUGACGAGCUAGAGUGCAGUAGGGGUAGAGGGAAUUCCCGGUGUAGCGGUGAAAUGCGCAGAUAUCAGGAGGAACACCGAUGGCGAAGGCAGGUCUCUGGGCCAUUACUGACACUGAGAAGCGAAAGCAUGGGGAGCGAACAGG
rnacentral:rRNA from 1 species